rnacentral:lncRNA from 1 species
GAAACAAAACCAAAAAUUAAAGCAUCACCAUCCCCCCACCCUUUCUUUUUCCCAGGCUCGUCUUCACUCCCAACUCUUUCACCUCCCCUCCUAGAGCAGCCCAGCGGGAAGGAGGAAAGCAGGUGGAGGUCAGUCCCGAACCACUCCUUUCUGACACUCCUUCCUCCUCACUGUUUCUCUGCUCCAGCGCAGGGCCCCUCCCACAGACCGCAGUUCCUGUGGCGAUCAUCCCCCACCUGCCCGGCCGUGGUGCUCUCCAGGCGUUUCUCCAGGCGUCACUCACCUCGGUGCUCGCACCGCUGUUCCUCCCGUUGCGCUUUCCCCUCGCUCCUGUGCUCGCCGGGGCCUUUCCUUGGCGGGCUUCCCCGGGCGCCGCGGGGCUCGGGCCGGCAGGCGGGGGCGCUAGGGCGGCUCUCGCAAGGUGCGAGCGAUCGGGGCGGCCCGGGAGGAGCGCGAGGCAGUCACUUUGGGGCUGAUAUCAUACAAGAGGAAUUGUGUGCAGCAGUAAAUCUAGGCUGUGUCAUUCCCCUCCUCUCUUUGGGUGGUCAAAUGAGUGAUCUCGUGGAAGAAAACUGUGAGAAGAGCUAUUCUUCCCAGGAAACAUCUGCAGAAAAAAAUGUGUCUCCUGCUAAGGACUGCUCAAUAAGACACAGAAAAUUGGUUUUCAGGAGGAUGCAGCUGAAGAUGCACAGCAUCAACCACCUAGUAAAAAAGUGUACUCAAGUGCAUGGAUAUUUCUGAAUCACUGUAUCAGCAGAUUGGGCUGAACUGUCACUGCUUUCCCCAUGAGAAACAGUGAAAGUGCUCAGUUGUUUGUGGAAAAUCACUGUGGACU